rnacentral:lncRNA from 1 species
AAAUAACCAUGUAAUCGUGUCCAACGAUCCAUUACAAUGAAUUAAAUAUCACAAUCAAAUGGUUAAAAAAUACAAAUAUAUUAUAACACAACACGUCUACCCUUAAAGAUCUUCAUACUAUAAGGCAUGUGAAUAUUAUCUGUUAUUACAAAAUAAGAUAAAUUCGAACUUAUUUCUAUUAAAAUUGAAAAUGCUAAUGAAGAAUGUGUCAAAGGGAAAACAACCGUACAAAGAACAUAUAUAUAGUGCAUAUAAUAAGUAUGUUUCAGAGAUUUCUAACAAAAAGCCUAAUUCUAGGAACAUCACGAUUUUCUAGCAUAAAAAUUUGCGAACCAAGCUCUCUUUUAUUACACAAAAUAGCCAAAAUAAAAUACAAAACAAGAACAAAAACUUGAAAACUAGAGAAAAGGGACAGCAAAGAGAAUUCAGGGAUUCGAAUCUAAACAGAUAAGUCCGUACCUUAAACCAUUUAUCUUAACCAUGAAACCUCGUGGCUACCACUUCAUAGUACACGUUUGCCUAUUAUGUAUAUAUAAAGGUACAAGCUCUGUGUGUCUGUUGUACCGAUGUAUAUCAUAUAUUCAUUUAUAUGUAUAAAUUAGACAUUUAAAUCGUAACCGAUUGGUAGCCCAGAGGUUUCGUCGAUAUGUUGAUGUCAGUAACACAUUACAAAAUUCAUGGACGAGUUCGAAUUCAAGUAAAGGUGUAUAUAAAUUACAAAAAAUAAAGGUAAGUUUGUAAAACAAUUCCAUUAGUGAACAGAAAUCAGUUACUUGGUCAAUUCAAACUUAAUGUAAUUAGGCAAACAA